UACGUAGGGGGCAAGCGUUGUCCGGAUUCAUUGGGCGUAAAGAGCGUGUAGGCGGCCAGGUAGGUCGGUUGUGAAAACUGGAGGCUCAACCUUCAGAGGUCGACCGAAACCAUCUGGCUAGAGUCCGGGAGAGGAGAGUGGAAUUCCUGGUGUAGCGGUGAAAUGCGCAGAUAUCAGGAAGAACACCCGUGGCGAAAGCGGCUCUCUGGAACGGUACUGACGCUGAGACGCGAAAGCGUGGGGGAGCGAACAGG
rnacentral:rRNA from 1 species